CGGCCCCCACCGGGGCUGCAGAUGGCGUCUGAGUGCACAGUGGCGCGUGUGAUUCCGCAGUCUUGGGCUGUUCGGCCAAGUGCCCACCAGACGUGGGGCACUGGAGGGUCAGCAGCGUGGAGUCUGGCUUUCAGCGUCCACGGCUGGGAAAUCGGCCAUCGCCACGGCGGGAACUAGGACUGGCUGCGUCCCGGCCCUUCCCCAUCCGUCCACCGGACUCGUGGGCGCCCGCACUGGCGCUGAUGUAGUUUCCUGACCUCUGACCCGUAUUGUCUCAAGAUUAAAGGAAUCAGGAGCUUCUUUUGCUGUUCUGUUUUGGAUGCAUUGGAAGGUCCAGAUUUUGAACAAAUCUCUCUAGGGAUUGAACAGAGCUGCGCCUGGAUCCUGCCACAGUGAGGAGACCUGAAGACCAGAGGAAGCACAGCAACAUAGGACGGCACAGCAAGACCUUCACCAGAUGCAGGCCCCUUACAUUCCCAGUGUCCAGAACCGUAAACCAAGUGAACCCUUGCUUAUAAAUCAUCCAGUCUGUGGUAUUCUGUUAUAGCAACACAAACGGACUAAGGCAGGGACACUCAGUGGGCUCUUCUCUCUAUUUGAUGGAGCACUCCCUGUGUGGUACCUUAUAUUUGUAGACAUGAUCCUGUAAAUGCUCUUUGAGUGUCUUGAAGGCUUUUAUGUUUGAGGAGUUUACAGAGAAGCCCGUACAGGGUUCAGGUCCAGUCUUCUGUUGCUUCUUUGCUCCUUAGUACCUCCCCUAACCUGGUGUUAAAUUAGAUCAUAGUGUGGUCCUUGGACCAAUAGUAUCAGUAGCACCUGAAAAUCAUGCUGGAAAUACAGAUUCACAGGCUGCUCCACAGAAUACUGAAGCAGAAACUCUAGGAGUGAGACCCAACAAUGUGUGUUUAACAAGCUCCCAGGUGAGUCUGAUGCACAAAGAAACGUGAGCUGCUGUAUUAGA
rnacentral:sRNA from 1 species